rnacentral:rRNA from 1 species
CCUACGGGCGGCAGCAGUGGGGAAUAUUGGACAAUGGGCGAAAGCCUGAUCCAGCCAUGCCGCGUGUGUGAAGAAGGCCUUCGGGUUGUAAAGCACUUUCAGUGGGGAAGAAAGCCUUGGGGCUAAUACCCUCGAGGAAGGACAUCACCCACAGAAGAAGCACCGGCUAACUCCGUGCCAGCAGCCGCGGUAAUACGGAGGGUGCGAGCGUUAAUCGGAAUUACUGGGCGUAAAGCGCGCGUAGGCGGUCUGAUAAGCCGGUUGUGAAAGCCCCGGGCUCAACCUGGGAACGGCAUCCGGAACUGUCAGGCUAGAGUGCAGGAGAGGAAGGUAGAAGUCCCGGUGUAGCGGUGAAAUGCGUAGAGAUCGGGAGGAAUACCAGUGGCGAAGGCGGCCUUCUGGACUGACACUGACGCUGAGGUGCGAAAGCGUGGGUAGCAAACAGGAUUAGAUACCCCUGUAGUC